rnacentral:rRNA from 1 species
AGGUGCAAGAGCUAGGGUAUAUUGCUCAGUAACACGUGGACAAUCUAAUCUAUGGAAGGGGAUAACCCGGGAAACUGGGGAUAAUACCCUAUAGACUAUGGAUGCUGGAAUGAUUUGUAGAUCUAAAGGUCCGCCGCCAUAGGAUGGGUCUGCGGCCGAUUAGGUUGUUGUUGGGGUAACGGCCCAACAAGACUGUAAUCGGUACGGGUUGUGGGAGCAAGAGCCCUGAGAUGGAUUCUGAGACAGGAAUCCAGGCCCUACGGGGCGCAGCAGGCGCGAAAACUUUGCAAUGCGGGAAACCGUGACAGGGGAACUCCGAGUGCCCGUAAAAUCGGGCUGUUCCAUCAGUUUAAAUAACUGGUGAAGAAAGGCCGGGCCAAGACCGGUGCCAGCCGCCGCGGUAAUACCGGCGGCCUCGAGUGGUGGCCCACUAUUACUGGGCCUUAAAGCGUUCGUAGCCUGGUUUGUUAAGUCUCUGGGGAAAUCUUCCGGCCUCAACCGGAAGGCGUCUCAGGGGAUACUGGCCAGACUAGGGACCGGGAGAGGUGAGGGGUACUCCAGGGGCUAGGAGUGAAAUCCUGUAAUCCCUUGGGGGACCACCUGUGGCGAAGGCCCCCUCACCAGAACGGCCUCCGACAGUGAGGGACGAAAGCUGGGGGAGCAAACCGGAUUAGAUACCCGGUAGUCCCAGCUGUAAACGAUCCCCGUUAGGUGUAUCGGUGACCACGAGUUACCGAGGUCCGGAAGAGAAAUCGUGAAACCUCCCCCCUGGCAAGUACGGUCCCAAGGCUGAAACUUAAAGGAAUUGCCGGGG